CCCGCAGCAAUGCGGGGCACUAAUGAAGCCUAGGACGGUCCCAAGCCCGUGAAAAUUCAGAGGGGUGC
rnacentral:ribozyme from 1 species